rnacentral:rRNA from 1 species
UGAGGAAUAUUGGUCAAUGGGCGAGAGCCUGAACCAGCCAAGUAGCGUGCAGGAAGACGGCCCUAUGGGUUGUAAACUGUUUUUAUGUGGGGAUAAAGUGCGUGACGUGUCAUGCAUUGCAGGUACCACAUGAAUAAGGACCGGCUAAUUCCGUGCCAGCAGCCGCGGUAAUACGGAAGGUCCGGGCGUUAUCCGGAUUUAUUGGGUUUAAAGGGAGCGUAGGCUGUCUAUUAAGCGUGUUGUGAAAUAUACCGGCUCAACCGGUGGCUUGCAGCGCGAACUGGUCGACUUGAGUAAGCAGGAAGUAGGCGGAAUUCAUGGUGUAGCGGUGAAAUGCUUAUAUAUCAUGACGAACUCCGAUUGCGCAGGCAGCUUACUGUAGCAUAACUGACGCUGAUGCUCGAAAGUGCGGGUAUCAAACAGG